AACGCUGGCGGCAUGCCUUACACAUGCAAGUCGAACGGCAGCGCGGGGCAACCUGGCGGCGAGUGGCGAACGGGUGAGUAAUAUAUCGGAACGUGCCCUGGAGUGGGGGAUAACGCAGCGAAAGUUGCGCUAAUACCGCAUACGAUCUAAGGAUGAAAGCGGGGGAUUCGCAAGAACCUCGUGCUCCUGGAGCGGCCGAUAUCUGAUUAGCUAGUUGGUGGGGUAAAGGCCUACCAAGGCAUCGAUCAGUAGCUGGUCUGAGAGGACGACCAGCCACACUGGAACUGAGACACGGUCCAGACUCCUACGGGAGGCAGCAGUGGGGAAUUUUGGACAAUGGGCGAAAGCCUGAUCCAGCAAUGCCGCGUGAGUGAAGAAGGCCUUCGGGUUGUAAAGCUCUUUUGUCAGGGAAGAAACGGUAUGGGCUAAUAUCCCGUACUAAUGACGGUACCUGAAGAAUAAGCACCGGCUAACUACGUGCCAGCAGCCGCGGUAAUACGUAGGGUGCAAGCGUUAAUCGGAAUUACUGGGCGUAAAGCGUGCGCAGGCGGUUUUGUAAGUUUGUCGUGAAAGCCCCGGGCUCAACCUGGGAAUUGCGAUGAAGACUGCAAGGCUUGAAUCUGGCAGAGGGGGGUAGAAUUCCACGUGUAGCAGUGAAAUGCGUAGAGAUGUGGAGGAACACCGAUGGCGAAGGCAGCCCCCUGGGUCAAGAUUGACGCUCA
rnacentral:rRNA from 1 species